AUCCAGAUGAUGAGUGCCAAAUAGGACAAAAUGCGCAUCUUGGCUGGAU
rfam:Trichobilharzia regenti genome assembly, scaffold: TRE_scaffold0000772